UGGGGAAUCUUCCGCAAUGGACGAAAGUCUGACGGAGCAACGCCGCGUGAGUGAAGACGGCCUUCGGGUUGUAAAGCUCUGUGAUCCGGGACGAAAGAGCCUGAGGUAAAUAGCCUAAGGAAGUGACGGUACCGGAAAAGCAAGCCACGGCUAACUACGUGCCAGCAGCCGCGGUAAUACGUAGGUGGCAAGCGUUGUCCGGAAUUAUUGGGCGUAAAGCGCGCGCAGGCGGCUUCCUAAGUCCAUCUUAAAAGUGCGGGGCUUAACCCCGUGAUUGGAUGGAAACUGGGAAGCUGGAGUAUCGGAGAGGAAAGUGGAAUUCCUAGUGUAGCGGUGAAAUGCGUAGAGAUUAGGAAGAACACCGGUGGCGAAGGCGACUUUCUGGGCGAAAGCUGACGCUGAGGCGCGAAAGCGUGGGGAGCAAACAGG
rnacentral:rRNA from 1 species